GAUGAACGCUGGCGGCGUGCCUAAUACAUGCAAGUCGAGCGAACAGACGAGGAGCUUGCUCCUCUGACGUUAGCCGCGGACGGGUGAGUAACACGUGGAUAACCUACCUAUAAGACUGGGAUAACUUCGGGAAACCGGAGCUAAUACCGGAUAAUAUAUUGAACCGCAUGGUUCAAUAGUGAAAGACGGUUUUGCUGUCACUUAUAGAUGGAUCCGCGCCGCAUUAGCUAGUUGGUAAGGUAACGGCUUACCAAGGCAACAAUGCGUAGCCGACCUGAGAGGGUGAUCGGCCACACUGGAACUGAGACACGGUCCAGACUCCUACGGGAGGCAGCAGUAGGGAAUCUUCCGCAAUGGGCGAAAGCCUGACGGAGCAACGCCGCGUGAGUGAUGAAGGUCUUCGGAUCGUAAAACUCUGUUAUUAGGGAAGAACAAAUGUGUAAGUAACUAUGCACGUCUUGACGGUACCUAAUCAGAAAGCCACGGCUAACUACGUG
rnacentral:rRNA from 1 species